rnacentral:rRNA from 1 species
AGUGAACGCUGGCGGUAGGCCUAACACAUGCAAGUCGAACGGCAGCACAGUAAGAGCUUGCUCUUACGGGUGGCGAGUGGCGGACGGGUGAGGAAUACAUCGGAAUCUACUUUUUCGUGGGGGAUAACGUAGGGAAACUUACGCUAAUACCGCAUACGACCUACGGGGGAAAGCAGGGGAUCUUCGGACCUUGCGCGAUUGAAUGAGCCGAUGUCGGAUUAGCUAGUUGGCGGGGUAAAGGCCCACCAAGGCGACGAUCCGUAGCUGGUCUGAGAGGAUGAUCAGCCACACUGGAACUGAGACACGGUCCAGACCCCUACGGGAGGCAGCAGUGGGGAAUGUUGGACAAUGGGCGCAAGCCUGAUCCAGCCAUGCCGCGUGGGUGAAGAAGGCCUUCGGGUUGUAAAGCCCUUUUGUUGGGAAAGAAAAGCAGCAGGUUAAUACCCCGCUGUUCUGACGGUACCCAAAGAAUAAGCACCGGCUAACUUCGUG